AGCUUGCUUCUCCGGAUGAGUUGCGAACGGGUGAGUAACGCGUAGGUAACCUGCCUGGUAGCGGGGGAUAACUAUUGGAAACGAUAGCUAAUACCGCAUAAGGGUAGAUGUUGCAUGACAUUUGCUUAAAAGGUGCAAUUGCAUCACUACCAGAUGGACCUGCGUUGUAUUAGCUAGUUGGUGGGGUAACGGCUCACCAAGGCGACGAUACAUAGCCGACCUGAGAGGGUGAUCGGCCACACUGGGACUGAGACACGGCCCAGACUCCUACGGGAGGCAGCAGUAGGGAAUCUUCGGCAAUGGACGAAAGUCUGACCGAGCAACGCCGCGUGAGUGAAGAAGGUUUUCGGAUCGUAAAGCUCUGUUGUAAGAGAAGAACGAGUGUGAGAGUGGAAAGUUCACGCUGUGACGGUAUCUUACCAGAAAGGGACGGCUAACUACGUGCCAGCAGCCGCGGUAAUACGUAGGUCCCGAGCGUUGUCCGGAUUUAUUGGGCGUAAAGCGAGCGCAGGCGGUUAGAUAAGUCUGAAGUUAAAGGCUGUGGCUUAACCAUAGUACGCUUUGGAAACUGUUUAACUUGAGUGCAAGAGGGGAGAGUGGAAUUCCAUGUGUAGCGGUGAAAUGCGUAGAUAUAUGGAGGAACACCGGUGGCGA
rnacentral:rRNA from 1 species